GGCCGGGUGGGGCGAAGGUGUCGGUCGUGCUGGGGCGGCGCUCCCGGAGGACCCCUUGAGCAGCCUCCACUCCCCUGGAGAAACACCAGCCUGCAGGAUACACUCCAUCCUCCUCUGCCUGCGUUUCAGAGCCUUUAUUUAUUGAGCACCUACUAUGUGCUGGGCACUGGGGUUGCAAGGAUGAGCCCGGAUCCGCUCACAGCCUGACAGUCUUGGCGGGGGUAGACACUAAUGGAUGUGUCAUCGCACACCCAGUAAAUAUUCAAAGGAAGAAACAUCAAAUCCAAGAAUCCAGCUGGCCCUGGGGUGAGCAACUCCCCCCAAGCAGAUUUGGCCCUGCUGAAUAUCCUGGAAUUGUGGCCCAGCCUCAGCAGGACUGAAGUUCAACUUGUCUCCAACGGCCUUGGGAGAACGGGGAGCAUCACAGAAAUAGUGUCAUCGCGUGUUGAAGUUUGUAGACUGACUUUCAUAACUGUGAAAAUCCCAUGCACAUCCUUCCACGAUUGACUUUCUUUAAAAAAAUUUUUUUUUCAACGUUUAUUUAUUUUUGGGACAGAGAGAGACACAGCAUGAACGGGGGAGGGGCAGAGAGAGAGGGAGACACAGAAUCGGAAACA